UAUUAAAAAUAUAUCUAAAAGUUAGCCCCUCGAUUGCAAUUUUUAAUAUUUUUUCGUCCUUAAUUACUCGUAAAUAUUCAUUUUCGAUUGUUCUUAUAUAAAAUACGUUUGUUCUCUUUCGAAAUUACUCAUUUUUUGUUUAAUUAAUUGUAUUAGUUGAAUAAAUGUAUACAAAAUAUGUGUACUGCGCAUGCCAUAAGUGUAUAAUCUAUGGCGCAUGCGUCAACUAUAAUGCCUAAACUUUCUACGCGGUUUUAAUCGUGAAAAAAAAAAAAUUAUAAAUCCUGAAGGAUCAAUUAAUUGGUAUACAGUUUAAUUAAAAAAAUUAAAAACAAAAUAAAUAAAAUAAUGUGCAUUCGCGUAAAGUUAGACCAAAUACAUUUUUUCCAUCCUCCUAUAUACCUAUCGCUAUGAAGGUAUAAAAAAGAUAGGUUAAGAGUUCACAUAGGUAAUAUAAACAAAUAAGUAAAUAUGUUCAUUAUUUAUCUUUCAAGAGAUAAUGUAGGUAUACAUUAUAAUAACAUUUUGACACAGUCGAAAUUAUAUUCCUAACAUUAGUAAAAUAACAUUUUAAUAAUUUUUUUAUAGGUUAUGUAUUGAAAUUGUUGGAAAAUUAUUUCAUGUUUUAGCUGGAAAACUACAUGGAGAAUUAUAUGCAAUACAAGAUAAUGAGCUCCAUCAAAUGAAUUCGAAUGAAACCAAACUGUUUACCAUCCAAAUUCGAUUGUCGGGCAGAUAGAAAACGAAAAUUCACUCAUAGUGAACCUCGGCCUGCAUUUGUGAAACGGCAAAGACUCACUAUUAUCAAGGAAAUUGAAGAGACAACUAAAAAUGAGAUGUGUCGUAUUAUUAUACCUUUGCCAUCGUGUAGUCAAGAUGUCCAGCCACUUGAAAAUAGGUGUAGUAAUGACAAAGCUAUCCAAGUAGCUCCAGCACAGGAACACAAAGGCAAGGCAAGUGUGUAUUGCCACAUCACCCCUUAAUAUAUCUGAAGCAAGUAUAAGUAAACAAUCAGAACCAGCAAAAAAAAAACUGUUGUUCCUGAGGACAAAUUUGACAGUGAUGAGUCAAAUGCACCAGCAACAGAAGGAUCAACUGUUGACUAUGGGUUAUAGAAGAAGAAGAUUAAUUCAUAUUUAUUUAAAUUAAUAUUAAUGAAUAUUAAUUUAAAUAUUAAUGAAUAUUAAUUUAAAUUAUCGUGCAAAAUUUGUGGUGAAAACAUAUGUGUAUUUUAUAAAUAAAUAUUCAUUCUCAGUA